GAUGAACGCUGGCGGCAUGCUUUACACAUGCAAGUCGAACGGUAACAGGUUAAGCUGACGAGUGGCGAACGGGUGAGUAAUGCAUCGGAACGUGCCCGAUCGUGGGGGAUAACGCAGCGAAAGCUGCGCUAAUACCGCAUACGAUCUGAGGAUGAAAGCGGGGGACCGUAAGGCCUCGCGCGAUCGGAGCGGCCGAUGUCAGAUUAGGUAGUUGGUGGGGUAAAGGCCCACCAAGCCGACGAUCUGUAGCUGGUCUGAGAGGACGACCAGCCACACUGGGACUGAGACACGGCCCAGACUCCUACGGGGGGCAGCAGUGGGGAAUUUUGGACAAUGGGCGAAAGCCUGAUCCAGCAAUGCCGCGUGCAGGAAGAAGGCCUUCGGGUUGUAAACUGCUUUUGUACGGAGCGAAAAGGUCCUUUCUAAUACAAGGGGCUCAUGACGGUACCGUAAGAAUAAGCACCGGCUAACUACGUACCAGCCGCCGCCGUAA
rnacentral:rRNA from 1 species